rnacentral:rRNA from 1 species
UAAUUAUACAAAAUGUUAUUACCCGAAAUUAAAAGAUCUAAGUGUAUUUUAAGUUAUUAGACUAUUUUGUUGUGCUCUGUGGCAUUAGUUUCUAAAAUUAUACCUUAGAGGUGAAAGGCCUGCAAUUUUACUGAUAGCUGGAUGAAUGCUAAAUAUAUUAAGUUUAAAAUAAACUUACGAAGUGAUAAGAUUUUGUAAGAUAUAAUUUUUUGUGUAUGAUUUAAAGCCAAUAGCUAAUAAUUACCGGCAAAUUCGGGCAGAUUAAAUAUUUAUACAUAUGUUAAUUAUGAAACAACAUUUUAUUUUACUUACUUCCCCUCAGUGAAAUAGAUAAUGUACAAAUAAGUAUGUACGAAAUAAAUUUAAACUAAGGAACUCGGCAACUAAUACAUACGACUGUUUAACAAAAACAUAGCCGGUAGUUAUUAAAUUAUCGGUGAUACCUGCCCAGUGAUUUUUUAACGGCCGCAGUACUGUGACUGUGCAAAGGUAGCAUAAUCAUUUGGCUUUUAAUUGAAGUCUAGUAUGAAUGGACAAACGUAUGUAGGCUGUCUUAAUUAUAAAUUUAUUAAAAUUAUUUAUAGGGUGAAAAUACCCUAAAUAAGAAAAAAAGACGAGAAGACCCUUAGAAUUUUAAGAAAAACCAUAGGCUUACUUGGAGUGAUUUUUGUUGGGGCAACAUUUUUUCAUAUAAACAAAAACUUAUAAGAUAAAUACAACGAUUAAGUUUAAUAAGGUAUAAAUUACCUAAGGGAUAACAGCAUAAUUUUAAGUUAAGAUUGUGACCUCGAUGUUGGACUAGGAACUAUUAAGGCUAGUCGUUUUAAUAUAAUAGGUUCUGUUCGAACUUUAUUUCCUA